AACGGAAUAAACACUUUAAAAAUCUCCCAUAUUGAGUGAUUCCUCUUGGUUUGUUUACUAAGGCUGUGAACCAUUCCACCGGUUCGUUUAACUUUUAGUUAAAAUUUGACACUCCGAUGGUUAUUUUCCCAUCGUGGUUAAAAUUUUACUCCGAAGCCGACCCAUUUGAGUUUUGACAGAUUGAUAGUUAUUCGGAACGAAAUGGAUUUGGCGCCAAUUUUCUCGCGAACAAAGUUUAACUAUCGAACUGUCAAAUCUAACCAUGCUCCGGAGCAGGGUUAUUUUUAACCACGGCGAAAUAACCAUCGAAUUGUCAAAUUUUAACUAAAAGUUAAACGAAUCGGUGGAAUGGUUCACAGCCUAAAUAUAUUGCUUAAUUUUUUUUUCGUCCUAUCACCGUCGCCAAUGUGAAUAUUCAACUACUGCAAGGAAUCACUCAACAUGGAACAUCUUUGGACUACCAAGUAUCUUUGCUGCUGUCAGGAUGUGAACUGACCCGAGGCUGUUGAUGCUUCUUCGAAGUUAGGAGGCUACAAAUGAAACCACAGCUGUUCCUUUGCCGAAAUAUUUCGAUACGCCCGUGCGUGGCUAAUUGACCGCUGGUUUGUUUGAUUCCACAUGGGCAGCUAAGGGCCGAUGUCCACAUAGCGGUUUUGAACUUGCGUGCACGCAGCGUCAACGCAAUUGCGGUAGGAAGUACCCAACAUCAAAUAGAAUCAUGCACACGCACUUGCGUUAACGCGGCGUCGCCACAUGUCUCAUUUGCGGCGAGCGUUACCGCAAAGUCACCGCAAUUCCCCACAGGAACGCAGCGUGCACGCCAGUAUUUUUUUGACAUUUCUCUAUUCCUUUUCCUUCCAACAAGAUUUCUAAUGGGAAAAUCUGCAGAAAGAAUCUGUCAGAGCGAAAUCAAAACAAAAAAAAAUACUUCUCAAAUCAGUUCAUUUUGGUUUCGAAAAUUAGUUUGCAAAUAACAAAAACUUUCAAUUCUAACUUCUUUAAAUAAUAGUACUAGUACGUUCGGAGCGGCAAGUGUUUCUUUCGUUCCUAUGUUAAUAUCAGUCGAGAUCAAACCACCUUUGGAAAGAACUGACAAGCAACCAUCCCAGGCUGCCGGAUAGAGUUAAAGUCAACGAAAAUAUGUGCCCGAUAGUGUAGUGACGUUGCUUGUACCAACUUUAUCAGAAUAAAUUGAUUUCCGAACAUACGGUGAUGUGACAGUUUUGGACUGAAUGACGGAGCAAAAUUCAACCAACAAAGUGCAUUCCCUGUAUGGACCAAGGCAGGCGAUACCAGUUCCGUAAUGAGAAAAAAUAUUAAAUGAAUAUGAACGGAAGGAUGUCGUCAAAUAAUGUGGAUUGCAAUUGCAAAAAAUAAACGAGACCAGAUGAUGAGAUGGUGGCGAGCCACAGUAAGACUCCGGGAUCAGUGCGACUCUUCUAGUGUUGUGGGCAACGCGAUCGGUGUUGCAGUGGAGUGAAAAUUUAUAUUGAGUACCUAAUUUGUAGGAGCGGCUGGAGUAUCUGACCAAAAUGUUUAAUGACUUUUUAUUCUGGAACAAAAUGAUUCGUCCCUAUUUAGCCGAUAAAUCGCACUAAUAAAAAAUCGUACCCCAAACGCAAAAGAUGAUCGAUUCAAGACAAGAACAAUUAAAUGCCUGGAUCCACUAUAAUUCAAGAUUAAUCUCGCCCUAUGAUGUAAUAAAUUUUAGUUGGAAAUCUAUAUACAUAAAAAUGAAUUUCUGUCUGUCUGACCCUUAUAGACUCGGAAACUACUGAACCGAUCGGCGUGAAAAUUUGUAUGCAGAGUUUUUUGGGGCCGGGGAAGGUUCACAAGAUGGUUCGAGACCCCUCCCCUUUUUGGAAAGGGGGGCUCCCAUACAAAUGAAUCAGAAAUUUCAUCAUAACUCGAGAACUACUCCGACAAUAAAUCAAUUUUAAGCGAAACGAAGUUCGUCGGGUCUGCUAGUAAAGAAUAAAUAACAUUAUGAAAUCGUAACAAUAUUUAUUAAUUAUGAAUGUAGAAAAUAUAUUGGGAUUAAGUAAAGCAAUGCCAAAUUUCUGCCUCUCUGUAUUAAAAA